AUUGAGCGCUGGCGGCAUGCUUUACACAUGCAAGUCGAACGGCAGCGCGGGCUUCGGCCUGGCGGCGAGUGGCGAACGGGUGAGUAAUGCAUCGGAACGUGCCCAGUAGUGGGGGAUAGCCCGGCGAAAGCCGGAUUAAUACCGCAUACGACCUGAGGGUGAAAGCGGGGGACCGAAAGGCCUCGCGCUAUUGGAGCGGCCGAUGUCGGAUUAGCUAGUUGGUGGGGUAAAGGCUUACCAAGGCGACGAUCCGUAGCUGGUCUGAGAGGACGACCAGCCACACUGGGACUGAGACACGGCCCAGACUCCUACGGGAGGCAGCAGUGGGGAAUUUUGGACAAUGGGGGCAACCCUGAUCCAGCCAUGCCGCGUGCGGGAAGAAGGCCUUCGGGUUGUAAACCGCUUUUGUCCGGGAAGAAAUCCUCUGGGCUAAUACCCCGGGGGGAUGACGGUACCGGAAGAAUAAGCACCGGCUAACUACGUG
rnacentral:rRNA from 1 species